rnacentral:rRNA from 1 species
AUAGUGAGUGAUUGACAGAUUGAGAGCUCUUUCUUGAUUCYAUGGGUGGUGGUGCAUGGCCGUUCUUAGUUGGUGGAGUGAUUUGUCUGGUUAAUUCCGAUAACGAACGAGACCUUAGCCUGCUAAAUAGUCCCGCGAAUGAUUUGUUAU